GCGGACGUGGCGAAAUUGGUAGACGCACGGGACUUAAAAUCCCUCGCCCUUCGGGUGUGCGGGUUCGAGUCCCGCCGUCCGCACCA
rnacentral:tRNA from 1 species